rnacentral:RNase_P_RNA from 1 species
AAGGUAAGCUUGACAAUAGCUUGAAUUAAAAUAUUCAAGAGGAAAGUCCGGGCUGCAGUGAAGUAUGGUUCCAUUUAACUAAUGGCUAGGGUAACCUAAGGGAUAGUGCAACAGAGAAUAGACAGCCAAUUUUUUGGUGAUGGUGAAACGGUGAGGUAAGAGCUCACCAGACUUUUGAGUAAUCAUUAGUGCUUUGUAAACCCAACUUGCAGCAAAAAGACCUGGUAUUUACUUCACAUUUUUGGUCUUUGCUCGACUACUAAAGUAAUUUAGUAGCUAGAUAAAUUAUUGUCUUUAAAACAAAACUCGGCUUAUGAGCUUACCUUUUUU